rnacentral:tRNA from 1 species
UCUAAAAUGGCAGAUUAGUGCAAUGAGUUUAAAAUUCAUAUAUAAAGUUAAAAUAAGCUUUUUUUAGAA